UACGAAGGGGGCUAGCGUUGCUCGGAAUCACUGGGCGUAAAGCGCACGUAGGCGGACUUUUAAGUCGGAGGUGAAAUCCUGGAGCUCAACUCCAGAACUGCCUUCGAUACUGAGAGUCUUCGAGUUCGGGAGAGGUGAGUGGAACUGCGAGUGUAGAGGUGAAAUUCGUAGAUAUUCGCAAGAACACCAGUGGCGAAGGCGGCCCACUGGCCCGAUACUGACGCUGAGGUGCGAAAGCGUGGGGAGCAAACAGG
rnacentral:rRNA from 1 species